CCGGGGGGAAACUACAUUCAAUAAGCGGAGGAAAAGAAACCAACAGGGAUUGCCCUAGUAACGGCGAGUGAAGCGGCAACAGCUCAAAUUUGAAAUCUGGCGUCUUCGGCGUCCGAGUUGUAAUUUGCAGAGGGCGCUUUGGCAUUGGCAGCGGUCCAAGUUCCUUGGAACAGGACGUCACAGAGGGUGAGAAUCCCGUACGUGGUCGCUAGCCUUUACCGUGUAAAGCCCCUUCGACGAGUCGAGUUGUUUGGGAAUGCAGCUCUAAAUGGGAGGUAAAUUUCUUCUAAAGCUAAAUACUGGCCAGAGACCGAUAGCGCACAAGUAGAGUGAUCGAAAGAUGAAAAGCACUUUGGAAAGAGAGUUAAAAAGCACGUGAAAUUGUUGAAAGGGAAGCGCUUGCAGCCAGACUUGCCUGUAGUUGCUCAUCCGGGUUUCUACCCGGUGCACUCUUCUAUAGGCAGGCCAGCAUCAGUUUGGGCGGUUGGAUAAAGGUCUCUGUCAUGUACCUCCUUUCGGGGAGAACUUAUAGGGGAGACGACAUGCAACCAGCCCGGACUGAGGUCCGCGCAUCUGCUAGGAUGCUGGCGUAAUGGCUGUAAGCGGCCCGUCUUGAAACACGGACCAAGGAGUCUAACAUCUAUGCGAGUGUUUGGGUGUCAAGCCCGAACGCGUAAUGAAAGUGAACGGAGGUGGGAACCUUUCGGGGUGCACCAUCGACCGAUCCUGAUGUCUUCGGAUGGAUUUGAGUAAGAGCAUAGCUGUUGGGACCCGAAAGAUGGUGAACUAUGCUUGAAUAGGGUGAAGCCAGAGGAAACUCUGGUGGAGGCUCGCAGCGGUUCUGACGUGCAAAUCGAUCGUCAAAUUUGGGGGCAUAGGGCGAAAGAUUAAUGAAUUUUAUGUU
rnacentral:rRNA from 1 species